rnacentral:rRNA from 1 species
AUUGAACGCUGGCGGCAUGCCUAACACAUGCAAGUCGAACGAGUGGCGGACGGGUGAGUAAUGUCUGGGAAACUGCCUGAUGGAGGGGGAUAACUACUGGAAACGGUAGCUAAUACCGCAUACCAUCAGAUGUGCCCAGAUGGGAUUAGCUUGUUGGUGGGGUAACGGCUCACCAAGGCGACGAUCCCUAGCUGGUCUGAGAGGAGGACGGGACACACUGGAACGGGGAAACGGUCCGGACGCCUACGGGGGGCAGAAGAGGGGAAUAUUGCACAAUGGGCGCAAGCCUGAUGCAGCCAUGCGGGGUGUAUGAAGAAGGCUUUCGGGUUGUAAAGUACUUUCAGCGGGGAGGCGUUACCCGCAGAAGAAGCACCGGCUAACUCCGUGCCAGCAGCCGCGGUAAUAC